rnacentral:rRNA from 1 species
GAUGAACGCUGGCGGCGUGCCUAAUACAUGCAAGUCGAGCGAACGGACGAGAAGCUUGCUUCUCUGCUGUUAGCGGCGGACGGGUGAGUAACACGUGGAUAACCUACUUAUAAGACUGGGAUAACUUCGGGAAACCGGAGCUAAUACCGGAUAAUAUUUUGAACCGCAUGGUUCAAAAGUUAAAGACGGUCUUGCUGUCACUUAUAGAUGGAUCCGCGCUGCAUUAGCUAGUUGGUAAGGUAACGGCUUACCAAGGCAACGAUGCAUAGCCGACCUGAGAGGGUGAUCGGCCACACUGGAACUGAGACACGGUCCAGACUCCUACGGGAGGCAGCAGUAGGGAAUCUUCCGCAAUGGGCGAAAGCCUGACGGAGCAACGCCGCGUGAGUGAUGAAGGUCUUCGGAUCGUAAAACUCUGUUAUUAGGGAAGAACAUAUGUGUAAGUAACUGUGCACAUCUUGACGGUACCUAAUCAGAAAGCCACGGCUAACUACGUG